rnacentral:snRNA from 1 species
GGAUGUGGGGGUGAUCUUGCUGUGACAUCUGUCACCCCACUGACCACCAGGGUUGGAUCUGGCCGACUAGGCAUGUGUCCCCUUCCUCCCUCAACAAUCCAUGUGCGUCCCUCCCAAAGCUGCGCACUCGGUUGAAGAGGAUGACCACCCCCGAUAGAGGAGGACCAUUCUUCGGUCAAGGGUAUAUGAGUAACUGCGCUCCCCUGCUAGAACCUCCAAACAAGUUCUCAAGAAAUUAACAAUAACUAUUAAUAAAAUAGAAUCAUCAUAACAAUAUGUUAUAUUAAAAUUUAGAUUUAUUU